GGGCCCGCACAAGCGGUGGAGCAUGUGGUUCAAUUCGACGCAACGCGAAGAACCUUACCUGGGCUCGAAAUGCAGUGGACCGGGGUGGAAACAUCCCUUUCCCGCAAGGGACUGCUGUAUAGGUGCUGCAUGGCUGUCGUCAGCUCGUGUCGUGAGAUGUUGGGUUAAGUCCCGCAACGAGCGCAACCCUUAUUGCCAGUUGCCAGCGAGUAAUGUCGGGCACUCUGGCGAAACCGCCCCGGAUAACGGGGAGGAAGGUGGGGAUGACGUCAAGUCCUCAUGGCCUUUAUGUCCAGGGCUACACACGUGCUACAAUGGUCGGUACAAACCGUCGCAAACCCGUGAGGGGGAGCCAAUCGGAGAAAGCCGGCCUCAGUUCGGAUUGGAGUCUGCAACUCGACUCCAUGAAGCUGGAAUCGCUAGUAAUCGCGGAUCAGCACGCCGCGGUGAAUACGUUCCCGGGCCUU
rnacentral:rRNA from 1 species